UACGUAGGUGGCGAGCGUUGUCCGGAUUUACUGGGCGUAAAGGGAGCGUAGGCGGACUUUUAAGUGAGAUGUGAAAUACCCGGGCUCAACUUGGGUGCUGCAUUUCAAACUGGAAGUCUAGAGUGCAGGAGAGGAGAAGGGAAUUCCUAGUGUAGCGGUGAAAUGCGUAGAGAUUAGGAAGAACACCAGUGGCGAAGGCGAUUCUCUGGACUGUAACUGACGCUGAGGCUCGAAAGCGUGGGGAGCGAACAGGAUUAGAUACCCUUGUAGU
rnacentral:rRNA from 1 species